GAUGAACGCUGGCGGCGUGCCUAAUACAUGCAAGUCGAGCGAACAGACGAGGAGCUUGCUCCUCUGACGUUAGCGGCGGACGGGUGAGUAACACGUGGAUAACCUACCUAUAAGACUGGGAUAACUUCGGGAAACCGGAGCUAAUACCGGAUAAUAUAUUGAACCGCAUGGUUCAAUAGUGAAAGACGGUUUUGCUGUCACUUAUAGAUGGAUCCGCGCUGCAUUAGCUAGUUGGUAAGGUAACGGCUUACCAAGGCAACGAUGCGUAGCCGACCUGAGAGGGUGAUCGGCCACACUGGAACUGAGACACGGUCCAGACUCCUACGGGAGGCAGCAGUAGGGAAUCUUCCGCAAUGGGCGAAAGCCUGACGGAGCAACGCCGCGUGAGGGAUGAAGGUCUUCGGAUCGUAAAACUCUGUUAUUAGGGAAGAACAAAUGUGUAAGUAACUAUGCACGUCUUGACGGUACCUAAUCAGAAAGCCACGGCUAACUACGUG
rnacentral:rRNA from 1 species